rnacentral:rRNA from 1 species
GAUGAACGCUGGCGGCGUGCCUAAUACAUGCAAGUCGAGCGAACGGACGAGAAGCUUGCUUUUCUGAUGUUAGCGGCGGACGGGUGAGUAACACGUGGAUAACCUACCUAUAAGACUGGGAUAACUUCGGGAAACCGGAGCUAAUACCGGAUAAUAUUUUGAACCGCAUGGUUCAAAAGUGAAAGACGGUCUUGCUGUCACUUAUAGAUGGAUCCGCGCUGCAUUAGCUAGUUGGUAAGGUAACGGCUUACCAAGGCAACGAUGCAUAGCCGACCUGAGAGGGUGAACGGCCACGCUGGGACUGAGACACGGUCCAGACUCCUACGGGAGGCAGCAGUAGGGAAUCUUCGGCAAUGGGCGAAAGCCUGACGGAGCAACGCCGCGUGAGUGAUGAAGGUCUUCGGAUCGUAAAACUCUGUUAUUAGGGAAGAACAUAUGUGUAAGUAACUGUGCACAUCUUGACGGUACCUAAACAGAAAGCCACGGCUAACUACGUG